CUUUGAUUGUGAUGCCAGUAGGUGUGGACCAGAGUGGUGUAGCUGCAAGCAGGUCCAGCCAUGGCCCCUCCCUGACCCUGGCCACCUGGAACCACAGGCUCCUCCCAAAGACCAACCUGGAGAAGAGCUGCAGAGGUGCACAAGGAACAGCCAGUGGCCCUCCCCAGUACCAUCGGUGAGUCCAUAUCCCAGUGAGAAACUGGUGUGGACCAGAGCGGCACAGCUAUAUGCAGGUCCAGCCAGGGCCUCACCCUGACCCUGGCUGCUUGGGCCCACAGGCCCCAGUCAAAGACCUGCCUGGAAAAGAACUGCACAGGUGUACAAGCAACAGCCAGAUGCCCACCCUGACACCAUUGGCUGGGGGAACCAUCCUGAGGACUGGCAGAGUAGUUGAAUGCCUCCAUCACCAUAUCCCAUGACAGAUAUCACAGGAGUUGAGCCCAGUGCUGGGGAAAACACAGAGAAAGAAUAAAAGUAAUGUUGCUGUUAUUCUGAGUCAGAUUCAUCAAUCAUGUAGCCAUGAUACCACCCACAAUCCUUAUCUG
rnacentral:lncRNA from 1 species